rnacentral:rRNA from 1 species
AAACUAAUUUAGUUUGGCGGCAUUUCAUCUAUUUAGAGGAAUUUGUCCUUUAAUCGAUAAUCCACGUUAAAUUUUACUUUAAUUAAAAACUUAUAUACCGCCAUCUUAAGAAUUAAUUUAAAAAUAUUUCUCUAAAUAAUUUAUAAAAAGUUAGGUCAAGGUGUAAUCUAUAUUAAAGAAAAAGAUGAAUUACAUUAAAUAAUAUUUAAAGAUUAUUAAUAAACAUAUAAAUAUAAAUAAGAAUUUAAAAGUAAUUUAUAAACAAUAAUAAUAUAUGAUAAAGAUAAUAAAUGUGCACACAUCGCCC